rnacentral:rRNA from 1 species
UACGUAGGGUGCAAGCGUUAAUCGGAAUUACUGGGCGUAAAGCGUGCGCAGGCGGUUAUGCAAGACAGAUGUGAAAUCCCCGGGCUUAACCUGGGAACCGCAUUUGUGACUGCAUAGCUGGAGUACGGCAGAGGGGGAUGGAAUUCUGCGUGUAGCAGUGAAAUGCGUAGAUAUGCGGAGGAACACCGAUGGCGAAGGCAGUCCCCUGGGCCUGUACUGACGCUCAUGCACGAAAGCGUGGGGAGCAAACAGG